UACAGAGGUCUCAAGCGUUUGUUCGGAUUCAUUGGGCGUAAAGGGUGCGUAGGCGGCGUGGUAAGUCGGAUGUGAAAUCUCGGAGCUUAACUCCGAAACUGCAUUCGAUACUGCCGUGCUUGAGGACUGGAGAGGAGACUGGAAUUUACGGUGUAGCGGUGAAAUGCGUAGAUAUCGUAAGGAAGACCAGUGGCGAAGGCGGGUCCUCCUGGACAGUUCCUGACGCU
rnacentral:rRNA from 1 species